CGACCGGCGCACGGGUGAGUAACGCGUAUGCAACGUUACCUAUCAGGAGGGGGAUAACCCGGCGAAAGUCGGACUAAUACCGCAUGAAGCAGGGGCCCCGCAUGGGGAUAUUUGCUAAAGAUUCAUCGCUGAUAGAUAGGCAUGCGUUCCAUUAGGCAGUUGGCGGGGUAACGGCCCACCAAACCGACGAUGGAUAGGGGUUCUGAGAGGAAGGUCCCCCACAUUGGUACUGAGACACGGACCAAACUCCUACGGGAGGCAGCAG
rnacentral:rRNA from 1 species